rnacentral:rRNA from 1 species
CCUACGGGAGGCAGCAGUGGGGAAUAUUGGACAAUGGGGGGAACCCUGAUCCAGCGACGCCGCGUGAGUGAAGAAGUAUUUCGGUAUGUAAAGCUCUAUCAGCAGGGAAGAAAGAAAUGACGGUACCUGACUAAGAAGCCCCGGCUAACUACGUGCCAGCAGCCGCGGUAAUACGUAGGGGGCAAGCGUUAUCCGGAUUUACUGGGUGUAAAGGGAGCGUAGACGGCGAUGCAAGUCUGAAGUGAAAGGGGGGGGCCCAACCCCUGGACUGCUUUGGAAACUGUAUGGCUGGAGUGCAGGGGAGGUAAGUGGAAUUCCUAGGGUAGCGGUGAAAUGCGUAGAUAUUAGGAGGAACACCAGUGGCGAAGGCGGCUUACUGGACUGUAACUGACGUUGAGGCUCGAAAGCGUGGGGAGCAAACAGGAUUAGAUACCCGAGUAGUC